rnacentral:rRNA from 1 species
UACGGGGGGUGCGAGCGUUGUCCGGAAUCACUGGGCGUAAAGGGCGCGUAGGUGGUUUGAUAAGGGUGUGGUGAAAGCCCCGGGGCUCAACCCCGGGUCUGCCGUGCCGACUGUCAAACUCGAGGGCUGUAGAGGCAGACGGAAUUCCGGGUGUAGCGGUGGAAUGCGUAGAGAUCGGGAAGAACAUCAGUGGCGAAGGCGGCCUGCUGGGCUGUUGCUGACGCUGAGGCGCGACAGCGUGGGGAGCAAACAGG